rnacentral:rRNA from 1 species
AUUGAGCGCUGGCGGCAUGCCUUACAUAUGCAAGUCGAACGGCAGCACGGGAGCAAUCCUGGUGGCGAGUGGCGAACGGGUGAGUAAUAUAUCGGAACGUGCCCAGUAGUGGGGGAUAACUGCUCGAAAGAGCAGCUAAUACCGCAUACGACCUGAGGGUGAAAGGGGGGGAUCGCAAGACCUCUCGCUAUUGGAGCGGCCGAUAUCAGAUUAGCUAGUUGGUGGGGUAAAGGCCUACCAAGGCAACGAUCUGUAGUUGGUCUGAGAGGACGACCAGCCACACUGGGACUGAGACACGGGCCAGACUCCUACGGGAGGCAGCAGUGGGGAAUUUUGGACAAAGGGCGCAAGCCUGAUCCAGCAAUGCCGCGUGCAGGAAGAAGGCCUUCGGGUUGUAAACUGCUUUUGUCAGGGAAGAAAUCCUCUAGGUUAAUACCCUUGGGGGGAUGACGGUACCUGAAGAAUAAGCACCGGCUAACUACGUGCCAGCCGCCGCCGUAACAC